GGUUGGGGGGGUUGCUAAUACAUGCAAGUCGAGCGGUAACAGGAGAAAGCUUGCUUUCUUGCUGACGAGCGGCGGACGGGUGAGUAAUGUAUGGGGAUCUGCCCGAUAGAGGGGGAUAACUACUGGAAACGGUGGCUAAUACCGCAUAAUGUCUACGGACCAAAGCAGGGGCUCUUCGGACCUUGCACUAUCGGAUGAACCCAUAUGGGAUUAGCUAGUAGGUGGGGUAAAGGCUCACCUAGGCGACGAUCUCUAGCUGGUCUGAGAGGAUGAUCAGCCACACUGGGACUGAGACACGGUCCAGACUCCUACGGGAGGG
rnacentral:rRNA from 1 species